rnacentral:rRNA from 1 species
GACGAACGCUGGCGGCGUGCCUAAUACAUGCAAGUAGAACGCUGAAGAGAGGAGCUUGCUCUUCUUGGAUGAGUUGCGAACGGGUGAGUAACGCGUAGGUAACCUGCCUUGUAGCGGGGGAUAACUAUUGGAAACGGUAGCUAAUACCGCAUAACAAUGGAUGACACAUGUCAUUUAUUUGAAAGGGGCAAUUGCUCCACUACAAGAUGGACCUGCGUUGUAUUAGCUAGUAGGUGAGGUAAUGGCUCACCUAGGCGACGAUACAUAGCCGACCUGAGAGGGUGAUCGGCCACACUGGGACUGAGACACGGCCCAGACUCCUACGGGAGGCAGCAGUAGGGAAUCUUCGGCAAUGGGGGCAACCCUGACCGAGCAACGCCGCGUGAGUGAAGAAGGUUUUCGGAUCGUAAAGCUCUGUUGUAAGUCAAGAACGGGUGUGAGAGUGGAAAGUUCACACUGUGACGGUAGCUUACCAGAAAGGGACGGCUAACUACGUG